GAUGAACGCUGGCGGCGUGCCUAAUACAUGCAAGUCGAGCGAACGGACGAGAAGCUUGCUUCUCUGAUGUUAGCGGCGGACGGGUGAGUAACACGUGGAUAACCUACCUAUAAGACUGGGAUAACUUCGGGAAACCGGAGCUAAUACCGGAUGAUAUUUUGAACCGCAUGGUUCAAAAGUGAAAGACGGUCUUGCUGUCACUUAUAGAUGGAUCCGCGCUGCAUUAGCUAGUUGGUAAGGUAACGGCUUACCAAGGCAACGAUGCAUAGCCGACCUGAGAGGGCGACCGGCCCCCCUGGACUUGAGACACGGUCCAACCCCCCGCGGGGGGCGACAAUUGGUUCUCUGCCGCAAUGGGCAAAGGCCUGCGGGGGGCACGCCGCGUGGGUGAUGAAGGUCUUCGGAUCGAUAAUCUCUUUUAUUAGGAAAAAACAAAUUUGAAAGUAAUUGUGCACCUUUUGGCGGUACUUAUUCAGAAAGCCACGGCUACCUCCCG
rnacentral:rRNA from 1 species